rnacentral:ncRNA from 1 species
AAAGACUUAGUCCUAACCUUACCGUUAAUUCUCGCUAAACAUAUACAUGCAAGUAUCCGCGCCCCAGUGUAAAUGCCCUUGAUCUCUUAUAUGUAAGACAAAAGGAGCAGGUAUCAGGCACACCUCUUGUAGCCCAAGACGCCUUGCUUAGCCACACCCCCACGGGUAUUCAGCAGUAAUUAACAUUAAGCAAUAAGCGCAAGCUUGACUUAGUUAUAGCGACCUAGGGUUGGUAAAUCUUGUGCCAGCCACCGCGGUCACACAAGAAACCCAAAUUAAUCGUAUACGGCGUAAAGAGUGGUACUAUACUAUCAAGGAAACUAAGAUCAAAAUGCAACUGAGCAGUCAUAAGCCCAAGAUGUACCUAAGACCACCCUUAAGACGAUCUCAGCACCCCAUGAUCAAUUAAACCCCACGAAAGCUAAGGCCCAAACUGGGAUUAGAUACCCCACUAUGCUUAGCCCUAAAUCCUGAUGUUUACCCUACCAAAACAUCCGCCCGAGAACUACGAGCACAAACGCUUAAAACUCUAAGGACUUGGCGGUGCCCCAAACCCACCUAGAGGAGCCUGUUCUAUAAUCGAUAACCCACGAUACACCCGACCACUUCUUGCUAAGGCAGCCUACAUACCGCCGUCGCCAGCUCACCUUGCUUGAAGGUACAACAGUGAGCACAAUAGCCCUUUAAUCCGCUAGCAAGACAGGUCAAGGUAUAGCCUAUGGAGUGGAAGAAAUGGGCUACAUUUUCUAGUAUAGAAAACUUACGGAAGAGGGUGUGAAACCUCCCUCAGAAGGCGGAUUUAGCAGUAAAGUGAGACAAUAAAGCCCACUUUAAAUUGGCCCUAGGGCACGUACAUACCGCCCGUCACCCUCCUCGCAAGCUAUAACCCCCAAUAACUCAAUAUGUCGCCCAAGCUAAAGAUGAGGUAAGUCGUAACAAGGUAAGUGUACCGGAAGGUGCACUUAGCAUAU